rnacentral:rRNA from 1 species
GUGCCAGAAGCCUCGGUAAGACGGAGGGGGCUAGCGUUGUUCGGAAUUACUGGGCGUAAAGCGCGCGUAGGCGGAUGUGCAAGUUGGGGGUGAAAGCCCUGGGCUCAACCUGGGAACUGCAUCCCGAACUGCCAGACUAGAGUACGAGAGAGGGUGGUGGAAUUUCCUGUGUAGCGGUGAAAUGCGUAGAUAUAGGAAGGAACACCAGUGGCGAAGGCGGCCACCUGGCUCGAUACUGACGCUGAGGUGCGAAAGUGUGGGGAGCAAACAGGAUUAGAUACCCUGGUAGUCCACACCGUAAACGAUGAAUGCCAGUCGUCGGCGCGCAUGCNUGUCGGUGACACACCUAANGNAUUAAGCAUUCCGCCUGGGGAGUACGGNCGCAAGAUUAAAACUCAAAGGAAUUGACGG